UACGAAGGGGGCUAGCGUUGCUCGGAAUCACUGGGCGUAAAGGGUGCGUAGGCGGGUCUUUAAGUCAGGGGUGAAAUCCUGGAGCUCAACUCCAGAACUGCCUUUGAUACUGAAGAUCUUGAGUCCGGGAGAGGUGAGUGGAACUGCGAGUGUAGAGGUGAAAUUCGUAGAUAUUCGCAAGAACACCAGAGGCGAAGGCGGCUCACUGGCCCGGUACUGACGCUGAGGCACGAAAGCGUGGGGAGCGAACAGG
rnacentral:rRNA from 1 species